GAUUAACGCUGGCGGCGUGCAUAACACAUGCAAGUCGAACGAUGAAACUUAGAUGAUUUCUUCGGAAUGAACUUAAGUGGAUUAGUGGCGGACGGGUGAGUAACGCGUGAGUAACCUGCCUUACACAAGGGGAUAGCCGUUGGAAACGACGAAUAAUACCCUAUGAAACUAUCACUUCGCAUGAAGCGAUAGUCAAAGUGUUAGCGGUGUAAGAUGGACUUGCGUCUGAUUAGCUAGUUGGUGAGAAAAAAGCCCACCAAGGCAACGAUCAGUAGCCGGCUUGAGAGAGGGUACGGCCCAAUUGGGACUGAGACACGGCCCCGACUCCUACGGGAGGCAGCAGGGGGGAAUUUUGCACAAUGGGGGAAACCCUGAUGCAGCGACGCCGCGUGAUUUAGAAGGCCUUCGGGUUGUAAAAAUCUUUUGUAUAGGAAGAAAAUGACAGUACUAUACGAAUAAGGUCCGGCUAAUUACGUG
rnacentral:rRNA from 1 species